rnacentral:lncRNA from 1 species
CCCGAGUGCUGGGAUUAAAGGCGUGCACCACCACGCCCGGCUUAGCAUAUUUUUAAUAUUAUGUAGAAUCCAAGUUUGAAGUUCUGGCCAAGGGCAUUUCUGGCAAGUAAAAUAAUAUAUGUACAUAUAUAUAAAUUACAUAUGUAUAUGCAUAUAUUAUACACACACAUACAUACAUACAUACAUACAUACACACAUACAUGGUGAAGUGCUGAAAAUACCUUUUCCUGUUUUGAUGUUCUCACUUCCCAACUACUGGAAUGUGUGUAAUACUACAUCUGGCUUAUACUGGAUUUUUAAUCCUCAUAACAACCUUUAUAAAAGGGAUUCUGGCUUUGUAGCCCAGGUUAUUCUCAGACUCAUGUACCCUAGGCUGGCCUCAAACUUGUAGUUACCCUACCUCAGCUUCCCCCAAAUGCUGGCGUUAGAGAUAUGUGUCCCCAUACACAGCUUAUGUUUAUGAUUUUUUUUACAUUGAACAAAACAGAGACUGGGAAAAAAAUCAAGGAGCUUUGCAAGGACACAUAAGUGGUAAUAAGAAGUUGAAACUAAAUUCAAGUGUCCCCAUGAGACCAAUUUGUUUAGAAAAUACAGAAUAUGAGUUCCAAAUAACACUAAAGCAAUAUCGCUUCUCUUAGCAUACACUUCUGUGGAGCUUGUGACUCAAAUAUAAGCUGCAGAGGGGCUGGAACUCGCCAGCUACAGAGUCCAGGGGCACAUGGUGGACAUGUACAAGGUAUUGACACCAAGUCCUCUGAGUCACUGUGAGGUUUAAAUCCUGUGCCAAGUAAAGCGCCGAGUACCUGUACGGUGACAUGGUAACCACCUCACGCCACUCCUUCCGCCUUAGGAAACCCUCAUAUGGAACCGACCUAGAUGACGACCCACAGACUGAACUGGGGUACAGAGAAUGAGGAAGCUCAUUCCAGGAAGAAGAAACAAGUACAACAGGAGAAACAGAAGUAAUGUGUGUCGAAACAGCAUUUGACUGCAAUAGUAUAAAGUCUGGGAAACAAUUUAGAGCUAGAUUACGUUAGGACCCAGCCAAAGAAUUUACAUGCUAGCCUAUUGAGUCUGGCUAGCACUGCCUGCAUGCACAUGACUGUGGAGCCAUCCACUGGAGCCUGGGUAACGUAACAAUAGACACACUCCUAAAGAAAAAUGACUCUCCUGCUCAUCAAUUGAACUUGUGGAUUGCCAACAGUUCCUCGGCUGUGGGAAAGCCUCGUGAACUCCUCUCCCCUCCAGGCUGGAAUGUUGACUGACUUGAUCUCAUGCAGGUCUUGUGCUGGUAAGCACAGCUGUUGUGAGCUCAUGAGUGCCAUAGCCAUGCCAUGCCCAUAAAAGCAUUUCACAGCACCCCUCCCUGACCUUCCACUCUUGCGUUAUUUCUGCCCCAUCUUCCUUGACAGUCCUUGAGUUGUGGGUGGAGGGGUUGUAGGACUGAUAUAAACGUCCCGUUUGGGGGUGAGCUCUCAAGAGUCCCUUAUCCUCAGCAUUUUGACCAGUAAUCAGGUUGAGAGCAGCACUAAUGUAUGGUUAUAAAUGUAAAUAUUUUAGAAGGCUGUUUGACAGCAUGUCCAUUUAGCAAAUAAGAGUAGAGGUUCCUCUAUAGCCAUGAGCUUUAGACCAUAGUACCAGGCAUGGAUUGUCUCCUGUAGAGAGAAUUCCUUCCUCAAAUCUAAGCAGGAAACAGUUGGUUAUCUCCACAGUAGCUAUGCUGCUAUUGCACAGGUAGGCACACUUUGCCUGGCAGGCCGGCGUUGUAAUAUGCAGGAUCCACUGCUGGGUAAAUCCACUGAUGGCUCUUCUUCCCUAGUGGGGCUGCAGAGUAUCUUCCAGCACUGUGAAACAUGACCAGCAGGGAAAAGGUUUUCAGGUCAGUCCUUCAUUGAUUUCUUCAUGUCCUGCAACCAACGUGUGUUAUAUCUUCAACAAUAAGGUUUAGCCAUUAGAAAGACCUUUGCAAAGCAGUGCCAUUCGUCUUGGACAGGUAUGACUAAGUUUAUAAAAACCAUCCAUGGGGCUGGAGAAAUGGCUCAGCGGUUAAAAGCACUGACUCCCAAAAGUCCUGAGUUCAAAUCCCAGCAACCACAUGGU